GAUGAACGCUGGCGGCGUGCCUAAUACAUGCAAGUCGAGCGAACGGACGAGAAGCUUGCUUCUCUGAUGUUAGCGGCGGACGGGUGAGUAACACGUGGAUAACCUACCUAUAAGACUGGGAUAACUUCGGGAAACCGGAGCUAAUACCGGAUGAUAUUUUGAACCGCAUGGUUCAAAAGUGAAAGACGGUCUUGCUGUCACUUAUAGAUGGAUCCGCGCUGCAUUAGCUAGUUGGUAAGGUAACGGCUUACCAAGGCAACGAUGCAUAGCCGACCUGAGAGGGUGAUCGGCCACAUUGGGACUGAGACACGGCCCAAACUCCUACGGGAGGCAGCAGUAGGGAAUCUUCCGCAAUGGACGCAAGUCUGACGGAGCAACGCCGCGUGAGUGAAGAAGGUCUUCGGAUCGUAAAGCUCUGUUGUUAGAGAAGAACAGCGCAUAGAGUAACUGCUAUGCGUGUGACGGUAGCUAAACAGAAAGCCACGGCUAACUACGUG
rnacentral:rRNA from 1 species